GCCGAUAUUUUCUUUCAUUUGCGCCGAUUUUUUUACAGGUAAAUUACAAGUGAAUAGAUAUAAGAAGAUGUGAUAUGAGUGCCAAUGAGAGAACUCUCCAUCCAAGUCAUGUUAUUUUUCAUUUAACAUUAUAGACCUCUUCCAUAAUUAGCCACUUGUACAAAUUUAUGAAUUGUCAAUCAUAACAUGUAUAUAACUGUUGUCCCCUGCUCACAGUGGGGAGGUGGAAGAAGGCCUACAAGAUACAUCUCC
rnacentral:lncRNA from 1 species